rnacentral:rRNA from 1 species
AGAGUUUGAUCCUGGCUCAGGACGAACGCUGGCGGCGUGCUUAACACAUGCAAGUCGAACGGAAAGGCCCUUCGGGGUACUCGAGUGGCGAACGGGUGAGUAACACGUGGGUGAUCUGCCCUGCACUUUGGGAUAAGCCUGGGACACUGGGUCUAAUACCGAAUAUGACCAUGCGCCUCCUGGUGUGUGGUGGAAAGCUUUUGCGGUGUGGGAUGGGCCCGCGGCCUAUCAGCUUGUUGGUGGGGUAAUGGCCUACCAAGGCGACGACGGGUAGCCGGCCUGAGAGGGUGACCGGCCACGCUGGGACUGAGAUACGGCCCAGACUCCUACGGGAGGCAGCAGUGGGGAAUAUUGCACAAUGGGCGCAAGCCUGAUGCAGCGACGCCGCGUGAGGGAUGACGGCCUUCGGGUUGUAAACCUCUUUCAGCACAGACGAAGCGCAAGUGACGGUAUGUGCAGAAGAAGGACCGGCCAACUACGUGUCAGCAGCCGCGGUAAUACGUAGGGUCCGAGCGUUGUCCGGAAUUACUGGGCGUAAAGAGCUCGUAGGUGGUUUGUCGCGUUGUUCGUGAAAACUCACAGCUUAACUGUGGGCGUGCGGGCGAUACGGGCAGACUUGAGUACUGCAGGGGAGACUGGAAUUCCUGGUGUAGCGGUGGAAUGCGCAGAUAUCAGGAGGAACACCGGUGGCGAAGGCGGGUCUCUGGGCAGUAACUGACGCUGAGGAGCGAAAGCGUGGGGAGCGAACAGGAUUAGAUACCCUGGUAGUCC